AUGCACGGACAGAGGCACAUACACACUCUAGCACACACACGUGUGUGUGUGUGUGUGUGUGUGUGUGUGUGUGUGUGUGCAU